CUCCCUCCCCACCACCCAAGACAAAAGCAAGUGGAAAAAGAAAGUUAAGAGUCUUAAGACACACCAAAAAGAAAUGGGAAGAACUAAAGAAAGGUGUAUUCACAAUCUCACGCUACAAACCAAGUUUCUUUUAAACACCUACAAAUCAUAAAAAAGAAGAAGGGGGACUCCUCAAAUGGAGCCAAGAGAAAAUCCAGGAAUG
rnacentral:lncRNA from 1 species